rnacentral:rRNA from 1 species
UACAGAGGUCUCAACCGUUGUUCGGAUUCAUUGGGCGUAAAGGGUGCGUAGGCGGUCGGGUAAGUCGGAUGUGAAAUCUCAGGGCUCAACCCUGAAACUGCAUUCGAUACUGCCUGGCUAGGGUACUGGAGAGGAGACUGGAAUUUACGGUGUAGCAGUGAAAUGCGUAGAUAUCGUAAGGAAGACCAGUGGCGAAGGCGGGUCUCUGGACAGUUCCUGACGCUGAGGCACGAAGGUCAGGGGAGCAAACGGG